rnacentral:rRNA from 1 species
CAGUAGCCGCGGUAAUACGUAGGGUGCAAGCGUUAAUCGGAAUUACUGGGCGUAAAGCGUGCGCAGGCGGUUAUAUAAGACAGAUGUGAAAUCCCCGGGCUCAACCUGGGAACUGCAUUUGUGACUGUAUAGCUAGAGUACGGCAGAGGGGGAUGGAAUUCCGCGUGUAGCAGUGAAAUGCGUAGAUAUGCGGAGGAACACCGAUGGCGAAGGCAAUCCCCUGGGCCUGUACUGACGCUCAUGCACGAAAGCGUGGGGAGCAAACAGGAUUAGAUACCCCGGUAGUCCCUGUCUCUUAUAA